UGUGAUGUUUGUACCGGCUACUGUAUGCAGAGCACCAUAAAGAUUUUAUCAAAGAAUUUGCUGACUUUCUUUCAGAGUUAGUGCUAGCUGCAGAUAAAGUCCUAAUUGUUGGUGAUUGUAAUAUCCAUAUGAAUAAUGGAAAAGAUGCAUCAGUAUCAACUUCUAGGCAUUCUGAACUAUAUUGGAGUUCGAUAACACAUCAGGACCAUUGAAAUCAUACUUCAGAUUUAAUAUUUAAUACUGUCCCAUUGGUUUGAUGUUAAUGGCAUUGGCAAAACUACAGGUGUUUCAUAUUGAAUGGAGAGACAGUACUUCCUCCUGC